rnacentral:rRNA from 1 species
GACGAACGCUGGCGGCGUGCCUAAUACAUGCAAGUCGAGCGGACUUGAUGAGAAGCUUGCUUCUCUGAUAGUUAGCGGCGGACGGGUGAGUAACACGUAGGCAACCUGCCUGUAAGACUGGGAUAACUACCGGAAACGGUAGCUAAUACCGGAUAGCUGGUUUUCUCGCAGGAGAGAAUCAUGAAAGACGGAGCAAUCUGUCACUUAUGGAUGGUCCUGCGGCGCAUUAGCUAGUUGGUGAGGUAAUGGCUCACCAAUGCGACGAUGCGUAGCCGACCUGAGAGGGUGAACGGCCACACUGGGACUGAGACACGGCCCAGACUCCUACGGGAGGCAGCAGUAGGGAAUCUUCCGCAAUGGACGAAAGUCUGACGGAGCAACGCCGCGUGAGUGAUGAAGGUUUUCGGAUCGUAAAGCUCUGUUGCCAGGGAAGAACGUCUUGGAGAGUAACUGCUCUAAGAGUGACGGUACCUGAGAAGAAAGCCCCGGCUAACUACGUGCCAGCCGCCGCGGUAACAC